rnacentral:rRNA from 1 species
AAAUCAUAGAAUUUUUUAAAAUUCAUGAUGUCGUAAGGGAAAAUAAUGAUAAUACCUUACUAUGAGUGUUGUCCAAAUCUGGUGCCAGAAGACUCGGUAAGACCAGAAACGCAAACGUUAAUCAUCAUAAACAGGCGUAAAGGGUUUGUAGGCAGCUUUCAUCAGAUUAUGAUUUCAAAAUAAAGUCGUCUAAUUGAAAGCUAGAAUCAAAAAGAGGUUAUAGUGUAUAACGCCUAGAGGAGGGCUGAUAUCCAUAGAUCCUAGGCAGAAUACUAAGGGCGAAGGCCACUUUCCAUUAAUGAUUGACGCUGAGAAACGAAGGUUAGGGUAGGAAAUAGGAUUAGAUACCCCGGUACUCCUUUCUGUAAACGAUGAAUGGUAGUCAUUAGUUUAAGUUUAUAUAAAAAGACUAAAAUAACUAGAGACGAAGUUAACACAAUAACCAUUCCGCCUUGUGAGUACUACUGCAAAGUAGAAAACAAAAAAAUUAGUCGGUCUCGAAGCAAACGGAGUGAAGCAUGUUAUU